UACGUAGGGGCCUAGCGUUGUCCGGAAUCAUUGGGCAUAAAGCGCGUGUAGGCGGUCCGGUAAGUCCGCUGUGAAAGUCGAGGGCUCAACCCUCGAAUGCCGGUGGAUACUGGUCGGACUUGAGUACGGGAGAGGCGAGUGGAAUUCCUGGUGUAGGCAGGUGAAAUGCGCAGAUAUCAGGAGGAACACCGAUGGCGAAGGCAGCUCG
rnacentral:rRNA from 1 species